GAUUUCUAUGAAUCUAUGGGUAUGGGUCCUCUAGUCCUAUGACUCCCAUGGUUAUGGUAUGGUUCCAGUGAAGUGAAGCUCUAAGGACGUGAUCUACGUGAAAAAUACUUAGCGUUGAGUAGCGUUGAGCAAAAAUUUGUGUUUUUAAGUACAUCGUUUUCGCUUAGCAAGAUUAUGUAAUUGCGUUACUCGACAAAUUGUCGGAACCGUCUUCAUGCCCUUCCAAUCUCGCAUUAUUAUUAUUUCUUAUUUAAAUGGUAGUGUCGUUUAAUUCUCAUCUCGGACGUUGACUUUUUGGGCCCGAAGAUACUUAUUCCAAUUAUGGCCCCUAACAUAAGUAAAUUUGUGACGAAGAAAACUGUGGCUGGUGCUGCAUCUUUCUCGCUUUUACUUUGGAUUUUAAAGUCGAACCGGAAAUUAAGGCAAACAAGAAUCAAGAAAGAAGCCCACGAUGACAUUCAGUACAUGAUCGGGGAGAAAGGUCCGGCUAAAACGAAAGCUCACGUUGAUGCAGAAUUUAUUCGACAGUUGUGCUCAAUUUUGAAAAUUACUGUUCCUGGUGUUUUUUCGCCGGAGUUUGGUUUCCUUGUCCUUGUUGCAGCAUCCUUGGUUGCCCGAUCGCUCAGUGAUAUUUGGAUGAUUCAAAAUGGCACUAUGGUUGAAACAGCAAUCGUUAAUGCUGACAGAGAAUUAUUCAAAAAGAGAUUGAUAUAUUUCUUUGCUGGGAUGCCAGUGAUUUCCGUAGUGAACAACGUCCUAAAAUGGAGUAUUGGAGAACUCAAGCUUCGAUUAAGAACGCGCCUGACUCAUCAUCUAUAUACUGAUUAUUUAAAGGGUUUCACCUAUUAUAAAAUGUCCAACCUAGAUAAUCGGAUUGCAAAUGCAGAUCAGUUAUUAACAACGGAUGUUGAUAAGUUCUGCGAAAUGUUUGCAGACCUUUACUCCAAUGUUUGCAAGCCAUUUUUGGACAUCAUUAUUUACGUUUACAGGCUAACAACACACUUGGGCUUUCAGACACCUUUUUUAAUGCUUGGAUACCUUGUAGUUUCUGGCUCAUUUUUAACAUAUCUCAGGCGACCAGCUGGUCGAAUGACUGUUAUUGAGCAGAAAUUAGAGGGAGAAUUUCGAUACAUCAAUUCCAGGCUAAUUGCUAAUUCUGAAGAAGUUGCUUUCUAUCAAGGGAACAAUCGAGAGAAGCUGACCGUUCUUGCUGCCUUCUCAAAACUUACCCAGCAUUUACGCAAGUUCUUAGAAUUUCGAGUUGUGAUCGGUUUUGUUGACAAUAUUAUUGGGAAAUACAUUGCCACUGUUGUCGGAUUUUAUGCAGUUAGCAUGCCUUUCAUGAAAACCGAUACUUCACUUGCCCAUUUAUCUAAAGACGAACGAUUUCGGAAUUACUAUACUCUUGGAAGAAUGUUAGUAAAACUGGCUGAAGCCAUGGGAAGAUUGGUUUUGGCUGGAAGAGAUAUGUCCAGAUUAGCUGGCUUUACAGCUCGAGUCACAGAAAUUAGGAGGGUUUUAGCUGAUCUCAAUAAAGGUCACUAUGUCAGAACUAUGAUCGCUGACAAAUCUGGCAGCUCAUCCACAAAUGGACUAUUAGGAGGAAAAUCAAAUUCAAGCAAGUUUCCUUUAAUUCCUGGUGCUGGAAGAAUUAUUUUUCAAGAUAAUAUAAUACGCUUUGAGAAAGUGCCUUUAAUAACUCCAAAUGGUGAUGUGUUAGUCGAGAACCUGACGUUUGAAGUAAAAUCUGGAAUGAAUGUUCUUGUUUGUGGACCCAAUGGGUGUGGAAAAUCAUCACUUUUUAGAAUAUUAGGAGAACUAUGGCCUUUAUUUGGUGGAACUUUAACGAAACCUCCUCGUGGCAAAUUGUUUUAUAUUCCGCAGCGACCAUACAUGACCCUUGGAACAUUGAGAGAUCAAGUUACAUACCCUCAUACUCGAGAAGAAAUGAUCCGCCGAGGCAAAACUGAUGCGGACUUAGAGCAACAUCUGGAUAGAGUUCAACUAUCAUAUCUUCUCAGUAGAGACAAAGGUUGGGAUACAGUUGCAGAUUGGAUUGAUAUCCUGUCUGGUGGUGAAAAGCAAAGAAUUGCUAUGGCUAGACUGUUCUACCACUCGCCUCAAUUUGCCAUUCUGGAUGAAUGUACAAGUGCAGUUAGUGUUGAUGUUGAGGGUUCUAUGUACCAAUAUUGUCGAGAGGUUGGCAUCACGCUUUUCACAGUCUCACACAGACGCUCUUUAUGGAAACAUCAUGAGUAUUACUUACAAAUGGAUGGGCGUGGAUCAUUUGAUUUCAAACCUAUUGAAGAAGAUACUGAAAAAUUUGGGUCAUGAAAUCAUUGUAUCGGGGACACUGGAUUUCGUAUUGUGAUCAUGGUAUACUGGUAAAAAGUUCGAUUUGACAUGGGGAAACUGAGCUGCUGCUAAAAGAAUUUUUGACAAUCUAUCAGCAUUGCAGGUUUCAAACUUAGACCAAAGACAAGCGGUGGUUAAUCUCAAAGUCACUAAUGCUGUUUCGAAACAUCAUCUAUUUUAAGUGCUUCUAUCUAGUGUCCAGCUUAAGAAAUUUUCAAAAAACUCUUACUGUUAAAUUGCAUGCAAUUCUAAAUCUUUCCACUUUCCUUUUAAUUAAUUGAUUCUGAUUUCAUAAUAUCAUUUUAAUGAAUAUUCUGAGCAUCAUAAUGUAUUUAAUCAGUUCUCAGGUUAGGAAAAUUCAAUAAUGACCUUUGGAAUUUAGUUUUUGCCCCUGUCAACAUGUUCACUACCAAAACUGUCACAGUGACCGGCAUUUUGAACAGCAUGUCGCUGUGCAAUUAAAGCACUGUCAACAGGUUCUUGAAGAAAUAGACUACAUUUUGCAAUGAGGAACCACUAUUUCUAGCUCAUUUUAGAAACAGCGUAUGAGCCAUUGAAUUCCCUAUGCAGAAAGGUGCUUUUAUGGAAGAGCCAGUGAUAGUGGUUCCUUAUUGCAAAAUGCAAUCCAAAUAAUUGUAAAGAAGUAGUCAUGCACAUAUCGUUAGGAAGCGCGAUCGUUACGAUAAUGGGUAGAAACCUUUUUUUGAAGUGUUCCAAUUCCGCUGUUUUUCCGUGCUUUUCUGGCCUGGCAGGAACUAUUUCGAAAAACAUUUUUUUAGUGAACAUAUUAAUUUUCAUAUCAAUACUAUUUUUUUUGUUUUUUGUAAAAACUCAAACAAGGCAUCAAUUCCUUUCAUAAAAAAGGGAUUUUAUUAGCGUUACUACAUUACUUUAUGAAGGCCAACUGCUCCAAUGGAAGUAGUUUGAAUUUGAUGCUGCAAAGUCUCUGCUGCUUUUUUUUUUAUCAUUUCCAAAAGAUGGUAUCCUUGGAGUUUUAGACCCUGCUCAGUGCUCUUCUCUUGAUACUCUUUUUUCUGACCCUUUAAGGACUCUUUGCCCUGAAUGCAAUUAUAAUGAUCAGCAAUAUUCCUCAAAAAAUUACACGAGGAUUAAGAAGUUUCAAAACUUUGAGGACCCAAUUAAACAGAUUUCAUACUUGGCGUUAAAAUUUUGAUCCUUGCGAUAAUGCAAAUGAUUGGGUAUUGAAUUUAGAUCAAAGAGGAAAUCUUGACCCUGCACUAUAUUAAAAGAAUUUAGGGACCUCAAAAGGUUUUUUUGACUUAGCAGUUAUUGAUAAUUUUUAUUUCGGUGAGGGAUGAUGAAUAUUUUAUUGAUUAUGGGAUAGGUCAUAAAUAAACUAUUUAUUAACGAAUGGGCAAAAACGCAUUAUUAAGAAUUCAAAAAUAAUAAUGAAGAGUGUUUCUUUUGAAAUGUUGUAAAUUUUCAAGUUCAUCAAAAUUAAUGUCCAUAAGAAAGAACAAAUUAGGUUUGAUUUCAUUUUUUUAAUGUAUAUUUGCAGUUUCAAGGAUCAAACAAGAGAAUACGAUUAGAUGCACGGACCAUCUCUGAACAUAGCAAGCAAUUUUUUAUUUUUACUGCUGUCUAAGUCAGUUUUUUUAUCUUUUCAAAUCAAAAUAGGAAAUAUUCAGCCAUAGCGUAUGAACUGCUAAUUUUACACUGUCCGUCACUAAAAGCCUUCAAGAUUAAUCGACAAUUAAAAAUAAUUUUACUUGAUUAAGAGAAUCUCUGGUUGCCUUGGAUGUUAUCUUUACGCCUUUUUACCUUAUGCAUAAAUAUGAAGAGGAUACAAUGAUAAAUUUUAAUUCCUCACGUAUCUGCUAAUCAAACUUAUUUAGCUUGUGUUUCAAGAAAGAGGGUGUAAAAAGAAGAAUUUCUGACACAUUUAUCAGGGUUGCCACAGUCAGGGAAAAGCAGGGAAUGUCAGGGAAUUUCAAAAAGUCAGAAAAAACCUGGAAAAUAUAGGGAAAAUGAUGAAAGUGUCAGGGAAAAAUUUCAAUGCACCUUUAUUUUCUUUCUAGAAUGGAUUUGACAUUUGGAACAGCAAAUUUUGUGUGAAUACUAUUUCGAAUUAUGUCUUUUUAACCAUCUUACAUAUCCUCAAUUUUUUGGGAAUUUCACGCAAAUGUGUCAGGAAAAUCAGGGAAAUGUCAGGGAAAAUGAGUCAGUCAAGUCAUUUUUUUUUAUUAUGUCAUACGAAAGUAGUAAGUAACCGAAGCUUACAGUUUUUUUCCUAAUUUUUUUGAUGACUGCAAACUGGAGAAAAAUUUAUUUGAAAAUGCCAAAAAUUAGAGUGGCCUAAAACGGCGUUUGAACGGCUCGUAGGUUUCGAUUAUACACGUCACGAUCAAUAUGGCGGCGGAAUGCGUAGUGGACGAAUACACGGCGGCGUCGCGUCGGCGGUGUGUUUUUGUUGGUCGAUUGGAGGUUAUGUAGGUUACUUUGUUUGAGAUUUAUACCCAUUGUCCUCAAGAUGAAUCUACAGCGGUGCGUAGUAAGACAUUUUUCCACGCAGGGAGCGCCACCGUUGUGUUUUGAUUUUUUGGUCCACGCUAUUAGAGUCCGUACAGCCCCACAUGAGUCCUUGAGCUUUUAUGAAAGAAAGGAAUUUCUGUUAAAAUCGAAGAGUCAUAAGUUCUAGCUAUAACAUUCUUCUUUCUAUUGACUCUGAAAAAUACGUGAAAAGUAAUUUCUGAAACUUGAUCCCAGAAAAAAGUAGGGUUAAAUUCGAUGACCAUGAUGCAACCAAUCGCGAGUGAUCGCUCUCAGCAGUUGCAGAUAUCUCUCUCCCAGCGAUAGCUAUCUCCUCCGCACUUACAGAUAUCCCAUAAGAGAAACUGGGAUCAAGUUAUAGCUUUUAUUAUUAAACUUUCAAAGCUCGCGGUUGUUUCUAAGCAUUCCAGAUAUAUACCGCGUGGCGGUAGUAAGGAGGUUGGCUUCGUCGCCGCCACCUCCCCGUCUAUGACGCGUAGAUUCGAAGAUUCACGGCGGUCGAUUCAAACAUGUUUCCGAGGACCCCUAAAAAGGGAGCGCUAUAUCUCCGCGGAGACAAUUUUUCGUGAAAUUUCAACGUGUGCAUCGAUCUUCUCGCACUGAAAACUGAAAGAUUCGACUAUUUGCAGGCAAAUCCCUUCCGAGCUGAACUGACUCAUUUCAUUAUCUUAAUUUGGUGGCAACUCUGAUUUAUUCAAAUGUUGAAGUUGGUCUUGUAAUUGACGGAUGCGAAAUGCAGGAUGCCCCCACUCGUCUAUAUUUGAGUUGCCACUGACAUUUCUUGAUACUUGUAUCCUAUCUUCCCACUCAAAGCCCAACAAAGGACAACUUUGUGGCUUGGGCCCGUGUGUAAAAAAAUAAAGACUUCAAAUGGUCAUUUACUGUCUUAAAACAUGGUUUUUGUGUAUGUUGCUUUGUCUGUUGCUAAUGCCUCUAUACCCAGGCAAUAAUAAUCUGUCACAACCUUAAUGCUCAAUCUCGUAGCGCUCGGGAUCCUUUCGUAAAUAAAUGGUUGAAAUUGUCUUAUUGAUUAUAUGAAACAUCUUCAUGUGGUGCAUUGUGUAACUGCUUCAUUAGAGAUUUAAAACCAUAUAUUGUUUAGUUUUUUUUUUUUUUUUUUUUUUUUUUUUUUUUUUUUUUUUUUUUUGUAUCAGGAUUUUACUGUAAGAUCUAGAGCGAAGAUGACUCUGUGAAUAUUUUAUUUAAAUCUUGCCUUGUCAUAAUCUUUUUUUUCUCCUUUGUUUAUAAAAAAUAGCAUUUUCAAUUUCAAAACAAAAAUAAAAUACUCAUAUUUAAUGAAACAACUUAAAAAUAUAAAAGUAAAUGCUUUUUAAAGCCAGAGAUUGUAAAAAAAUAAAUAAAUUAAAUAUACCUAUUUUCUCUUGCUGAGUGUGUCCUCCCCCCUCAUGUAUAAUUUGGAGGCUGAUUUCACGUGUACAUAAUGAGCACCUGUGAAAUUGAGAAGGAAGUGUCCUACGCUUAUGUACUGGUAAAAAGUAUGAUAAAUACCAAAAACAUUGGACGAAACGAAAAAAAGAGAAGAAUAAUUGUUUUACCUCAAUCAUUGCUGUCUGAAUCAGCAUAGUUUGAAUCAACCUCGUCGUAAUCUUUGCCCAUCGCAUCUUUGUCUACUAAUAUUUAAAAACACUCCUCUGCCUUGAUUUUGUCCCACUGAAAUUUCUCCUGUCUCUACUACACGCAUACUUGUAAACCGUACAUGUAAAAAUUGAAUUUAUUUCGCCAACAUCACCACUUAUUUUCCUGUCACAGACUUUUUCACUUUCUUAAAUAACUGAUAAUUUUUCCUUUCCAGGAUAUUGCGUUUUUUUUUGAGGUGCCAUUAUGUAAAAUUCGUAUUAUUUAUAAACUGUAAAUCUUUAAAGCCACUGAGUCUAAAACUGUACUACCGAGAGCCGUUUAAGCAUACAAUAUAUUUACAGUGACAAAACUGAAUUGCGGAUUAAUACCUUUUCCUCAAAAAAUCAGCCCUGUCCCUAAUCCUCAAUCAAAACAUAAGUCAGGGAAAGACUGAGCAUGAAAUAAAUGAAGCUAUCUAACUAUGCUAGGAGAAAAUUGGAGGGAUAAGUUAAGCCUGACGCUUGUUAUCCUGUAUCUGCACUGCAGUGUGUCCAACAUUGCAGAAGCAUGGCAUCACAUGAGGGUGGUGAUUGGGCACUUUGACUGACGGAAAAAAGUCAAAUCCUUAACUUUUGCAUAUAUUGUGUUGCAGACUUUAUGACCAAUCAGAAGUGACAAAGAAGUGCACAUUUCACCCGAAUAAAUACAGGACAUUAAGUAAAAUCACAUUCAAACUGAGAAAAAAUAUAUUUGAUUUUAAAAAAAAGUAAAGAAAAAUAUGAUGAAAAUUUUUAUUUGCACCGUUAUCAAGUUUAGUAAAGGCAUCAAACGUAAAAUUCUCUCAAAAGUACUCUCUAUGUCUUUUUUAUUUAUUAGUUAUUGUUCGAUUUUCAUCCUGCUUUGAUAGGAAGUGAAAAGGAGGAUAAAAAAAUCGCUCUUUCUAAAGGUCCUGUUGUGAUAAGAAUUGGAAAUACAAAGUUGUACAUACUUUAUUGUUAAUACAUUUCUUCCCUUGCCAAUAGUGAGAUUAAAUUGAUGUAUGGUGAGUUUUUCUAUUUACCUCUUCAUGUUUGUUUUUAAAAGAAAUCAUUGAUCUGUAUCGAAUAUUUCUUUACCUAUUCAUGUUUUUAAUUUGGUUUGUUUGUUUGUUUAUUUUAUUUCAUUUUAAUUUGUUUUAUAUAAUUUUAUUUGAUUCUGCUGUAGGUAAUAGGUAGUGGUCUAUGUUUACUUUUAUCUUUGUAAUCGUUUAAAUAUAUUCAGUUAUUUUGUUUUUCCAA